rnacentral:rRNA from 1 species
UACGGGGGGGGGCAAGCGUUGUUCGGAAUUACUGGGCGUGAAGGGCUCGUAGGCGGCCAACUAAGUCAGACGUGAAAUCCCUCGGCUUAACCGGGGAACUGCAUCUGAUACUGGAUGGCUUGAGUUCGGGAGAGGGAUGUAGAAUUCCAGGUGUAGCGGUGAAAUGCGUAGAUAUCUGGAGGAAUACCGGUGGCGAAGGCGGCAUCCUGGACCGGCAUUGACGCUGAGGAGCGAAAGCCAGGGGAGCAAAGCGGG